AUGCUUUCGCUCGACAUGGCGUUGCUCCUCGGAGUCAUCUUCGCCUCCAUCCUUACAAGAGCGGCCUCGGUGGGCGUGUGCUACGGCAUGAGCUCCAACAACCUGCCGCCCCCGAGCACCGUCGUCGGCAUGCUCCGGGACAACGGCUUCAACUCGGUGCGUCUCUACGCACCGGACAAUGACGCGCUGGCGGCACUCGCCGGCACCGGCAUCGGCAUCAUCGUCGGGGCGCCCAACUACGUGCUUCCCGAGCUGGCCGCCAGCGCCUCUGCAGCGGCCGCGUGGGUCCGCGCCAACAUCGCGGCACACCCGGAUGUCUCCUUCCGGUACCUCAUCGUGGGCAACAAGGUCGCCGGCAGCGACACGCAGUACCUCGUCACUAGUAGAAAAAGGGUCAAAUGUGAGACACAUUAG
rnacentral:rRNA from 1 species